rnacentral:rRNA from 1 species
UACGGAGGGGGCUAGCGUUGUUCGGAAUUACUGGGCGUAAAGCGCACGUAGGCGGCUUUGUAAGUUAGAGGUGAAAGCCCGGGGCUCAACUUCGGAAUUGCCUUUAAGACUGCAUCGCUAGAAUCAUGGAGAGGUUAGUGGAAUUCCGAGUGUAGAGGUGAAAUUCGUAGAUAUUCGGAAGAACACCAGUGGCGAAGGCGACUAACUGGACAUGUAUUGACGCUGAGGUGCGAAAGCGUGGGGAGCAAACAGG